AUUGAACGCUGGCGGCAUGCCUAACACAUGCAAGUCGAACGGGUUGUAGCAAUACAACUAGUGGCGGACGGGUGAGGAAUACAUAGGAAUUUGCCUUUAGGUGGGGGAUAGCCCGGGGGAAACUCGGAGUAAUACCGCAUGAUGUCGCAAGACCAAAGCCGGGGAUCGCAAGACCUGGCGCCUUUAGAGGAGCCUAUGUCUGAUUAGCUAGUUGGUAGGGUAAUGGCCUACCAAGGCGACGAUCAGUAACUGGUCUGAGAGGACGAUCAGUCACACCGGAACUGAGACACGGUCCGGACUCCUACGGGGAGGCAGCAGUGGGGAAUAUUGGACAAUAGGGCGCAAGCCUGAUCCAGCGAUGCCGCGUGUGUGAAGAAGGCC
rnacentral:rRNA from 1 species